GAAUCGCGAUAGGAAGUGCGAAUUGCAGAAUUCAGUGAAUCAUCGUAACUUUGAACGCAAACGGCGCUUCGGGGCUGACCCGGAGCAUGCCUCUUUGAGUGUCGGUCAAUUCUGCCUUUGGGCGAAGUGGGAGUCUGUUGUAGUCUCCUUAAGUCGAAGAACGCCUCGAUGCGUGUGAGUACAAGUGGACAUGAGCUGAUGUUUCAUCUAUCCACGAGUGGCUCUGCAAGUCGAUGGCGUUCGCAAUCCUUUUGGGAAAAACUCGACCAACGACCUCAAAUGAGGCAAGAUUACCCGCUGAACUUAA
rnacentral:misc_RNA from 1 species